AGUCUGGUGCCAGCAGCCGCGGUAAUUCCAGCUCCAAUAACGUAUGCUAAUGCUGUUGCUGUUAAAAAGCUCGUAGUUGAUUUCCACUCUGUGAAAGUUGUAUUGCCAUUAUGAGGGUUUCUAAUCCAAAAUGAUGGAGAACAAUGCAACAAUACUUCAUGGAGUACAAUUUAAGCGCGUGCAGGUGCUUUUUUUCGUUAUUGAAUUAAGCAACCUAUUGGAAAAACACUUCAAAAGCCUGCACGUGCGAAGUCGCUGUAACCAAACUAGAGCGUUCAAAGCAGGCUUAUGCUUGACUUGUUUGUGCAGUACGACAUCGCAUCGCUUACUGGACUUUGUUCUUGCUGUUCCACCAAGUCCGGUAAAUAAUUUGGUUAUUUUUCUGAGAGAUGUGCGCUUUCGGGCUGCACUCUCAAAGAAGGUAGCUGUACGGAAUCAAUGGGAUGGGUCGAGGUUGGCGGUAUUGCCUGGCGAGAGGUGAAAUUCUAUGACCCAGGCAAGACCACCGGAGGCGAAAGCGGCCAACCAGUCCGUAUCCGUCAAUCAAGAACGAAAGUGUGGGGAUCGAAGAUGAUCAGAUACCGUCGUAGUCCAUACUGUAAACUAUAUGGACCGGCGGUCAGAUGAACGCCCGUCUUUUGUCGCUUUUGGAAGCAAAACCCUUGACAUGCGAAAGCUUUGAGUCUUUGCAUUCAGGGGGGAGUACAUUCGCAAGGCUGAAACUUAAAGGAAUUGACGGAAUGACACCACAAGGCGUGGAGUAUGCGGCUUAAUUUGACCCAACACGGGGAAUCUUACCAAGUCAUGACAACGGUUGGAUUGACAGAUUAAGAGCUCUUUCUUGAUUCGUUGAAUGGUGGUGCAUGGCCGUUCCUGGUUCGUGGAGUGAUUUGUCUGGUUGAUUCCGCUAACGAACGAGAUCUCCACCAGUAAAUAGGUUAACAUUUCGUAUAUAUGUAGGCAGACCUACAACAAUGCUUUCGGGUUGCGUUGUAGAAUUUCUGUCGAGAAGUGUUAUACUUCUUACUGGGACUUGGCAUGUUUAUAAUGCCCGGAAGAGGGAGGCAAUAGCAGGUCUGUGAUGCUCCUAAAUGUCUUGGGCCGCACGCGCACUACAAUGGUAGUGACAGCAAGCUUGAUCGCUUGUCGAUCCCUGCCCCGAAGGGGGUGGGCAAUCUUUUGAAACGCUACCGUAACUGGAAUAGCUGAUUGCUACUAUUCGUCUUGAACGAGGAAUGCCUUGUAUGGGCGUCUCAUCAAGGCGCUCAGAAUACGUCCCUGUCAUUUGUACACACCGCCCGUCGUUGCUACCGAUUGGCUGUUAGAUGGAACUGGUUGGAUCUGUUCACUCUUUUGUGAAUGGCAAAGCCCAGUAACAUCUACCAGCUAGAGGAAGCAAAAGUCGUAACAAGGUU
rnacentral:rRNA from 1 species